AUCUUCCUGUCCAGAAGGGUGGAGGAAAGGCAGACUUGUCAGAGCUCAUCUACCUCAACAUGACUAUGGAGGAGUAAACCCCUAAAUCAUCUUUGGAGAAUGGCCUACUUACUGUUUUCCCUGUGGUCUCUGAUGAAGGAAAUCUGGACCUCAUUGAGAAAUGCCGAAUUGCAUGACGCCGCAGAAAGAUAGACUGGUAUGGGAUGGAAAAAGAAGAGAAAUUAAAGCAUAAAAUAAAUUCCUCCAAGCAUGAGAGUGACAUAGAGUUAACUCAAAAAAGAUGAUAAAACUGAGACCCAGAGACUUGUCCAAGAUCAUGCUACUCCAGUAACUGUCAAGAAAUGGGGUCAUAAAGAGUCUGACACAACUGAAAAAUAAAUGAGGCCACAAAGUGUUCCACACAACUGAAAAACAACUAAAUGACAAUAAAACCUAUGGCCUUAGAUUUGAAUGUGAGAAGGAAAUGACAAACCAUUCCACUAUCUUUGCCAAGAAAACCCCAAAAUAGGACCAAAAAGAGUUAGAUGUGACUAAACAACAUAUCCUUUUGCCACUUAAUCCCGGAUUAUCCUGUGAUGUACUUUAUUAUUUUGAGCUGUUAUUUUGCCUUCCUUGCACUGAUGUCUCGUUUCUCCAACUAGAACCUAAUCUACUUAGAGCAAGGAACUAUGCCUCACACUUUUUCUUAUCACUCAUGGACCUAGCACAGUGUCUUAGGUACAAGAAGCACCAGCCUAGUGUUCAUUUUUCUCUGUAAAUCCAGGACUUGACAUGCUAGGGUCUCUCUUUGCUGCUAUCUCUCUUCCCUGUAACUUAGGUUUCCUCCACUCAAUUUUGCCUAUGGAAAAGAAAGCAGGUUUUAGCAGCAAGGUAAAGCAACUUAUUUGAUGCCAGAUAUGGCUUUAGACACUUAACUAGCUGUGUGACCCUGGACAAGUCACACAAUCUUGUUUAAUUCUGUUUCCUCAUCUGUAAAAUGAUCUGGAGAAGGAAAGGGCAAAACUAUGCCAGUAACUUUGUCAAGAAAACCCCAAAUGGGGUCACAAAGAGUAUGACACAACUGAAAAACAACUAGACAACAACAAAACCUAUGGUCUUAGAUUAGCAUUUGAGUCAUUUGUCUUCAGAUGCCACAUGACCCAAAACCACAGGACUCACAAUUUCUCUUUCCAUUAACUGCCCCGUAGUCCUUCCCAGGCCCCUUCUCCUUUGAUUGAUUUGUUAUAUACUGGUUGUAUAGCUAUUUCUAAGAUUUCACAUGAAAGUGAAAUCUUCUUUGUGGGACUCUCUGGCUCCCAUGUCAUUGGCAGAGCUGAGAUGACAGGCAUACGCUGGAGCCAAUAAAUAAUUGACAACUUUCCCGUGUAGUUUAUUCCUCCCUGCUUCUGGGAAGAUAAAUAAUUCAAUUCAAUUUAAUACUAAAUCUAGUCCCUUCCCACUAGAAUGUUCCCUCUUAUACAGCAUACAAUUAAAUAUAAGAGGAGGGAGGAAGGGAAUAAGCCUUUAUGCAGUCAUCUACUAGGAAGCAAGCACUGUGAUAGAGGAAUGAUCCAGAGACUUUGAAGGGCAGAGCCUGGAAGACAUGCAGAGGUUUGCAUCCACAGAAGGGGGUGGUGGAGGAGCCUUGGAAGCUUGAGGGAAGAGAGAUUCCAAGUGGAAGACAGUUGAUCUCUCUCUCUUGAGAAAGCCAUGAGUGACAGGCUGAUCAGAGAUUUCUCUCCUGAGCCAUUCAAAUCCCUCAUUGAUCCUAACCACCAUUUCCCCCCAAAGAUACCAAGAAGUGUGGCAGAAAUCCGAGAAGAAUAAGAAGAUCUCACACAGCUCCUGUGACACCCUGGGUCUGGACAUUGGCUCUGCUGUGACAAAGACCAGGGGUCACCAACCUGAACCUCCCAGAGGCCAGGCUGGCAAGUCUGCAUCUCUCAACUUUGGAGGGAAGGAAAAAAGACAUUUUAGACAGACAGGGUCUUCCUUUCCCCUCUUUCCUAUAAACUCCAACCUGCAGACAUCUUUUUUAUCUUGCCCCUAAUCCCCAUUUGUUAGAAUAAAGUGUCAGUUAUCUUAACUUGACUUCCUUGUCAUAUUGGAAGAGGUAGAGAACAGAUUUCUCUCUCUUUCCCCAAGGGAAAAGGUUCACCCAUUAAAUCAGUUAUUAGAGGGGAGUAAAGGCAGGGUUACUGGAGAGACAUAUUUGAAGAAGACUGAAGGGGGAAUCCAUGUCUCCCUCCUCCUACCUUCUGGGCAUUUGUCAUCUACUUUUCCUCCAUUAUACCCAAACCAACCCUCUAAUAUGGCACUAUUACACUUAGCACCUUACAAAUAUUAUUUCAUUUGACUCUUCCUACAACCCUGCAAAGUGGGUGCUGCCCAUUUUAUAAUUGAGAACACUGAAUAACUCAAAAGUGAUUGAGAUGGGAUUUGAAGUCAUUUUCUGCUUCCAGAUGUAGUACUCUAUUCACUUUGCCACCUAGCCAACUCAA